UCAUGGAACAUACUCGUAAAGCCUCAUAAAAAUCUUAUAAUCCUGAGGAGUUUCUACCAUGUAGGAACACUCUUUAAUUGAACUUUUGUUUUAACUGGUACCGACCAAGAAACCACCAGCUUUGUUUGGUGGGCUGGGAAUGCCAGAAUAAUAAAUAUUUAUGCUAAACUACUUGGAGCUCACGUAGCCCAUGACGGAUUAAUCGUAUUCUGGGCUAGAGCAAUGGACCUAUUUGAAGUGGCCCAUUUCGUACCAGAAAAGCCCAUGCAUGAACAAGGGUUGAUUUUACUUCCACACUUACCUACUCUAGGUACCCCUAAAAAAACUUAG
rnacentral:rRNA from 1 species